GAUGAACGCUGGCGGCGUGCCUAAUACAUGCAAGUCGAGCGAACGGACGAGAAGCUUGCUUUUCUGAUGUUAGCGGCGGACGGGUGAGUAACACGUGGAUGACCUACCUAUAAGACUGGGAUAACUUCGGGAAACCGGAGCUAAUACCGGAUAAUAUUUUGAACCGCAUGGUUCAAAAGUGAAAGACGGUCUUGCUGCCACUUAUAGAUGGAUCCGCGCUGCAUUAGCUAGUUGGUAAGGUAACGGCUUACCAAGGCAACGAUGCAUAGCCGACCUGAGAGGGUGAUCGGCCACACUGGAACUGAGACACGGUCCAGACUCCUACGGGAGGCAGCAGUAGGGAAUCUUCCGCAAUGGGCGAAAGCCUGACGGAGCAACGCCGCGUGAGUGAUGAAGGUCUUCGGAUCGUAAAACUCUGUUAUUAGGGAAGAACAUAUGUGUAAGUAACUGUGCACAUCUUGACGGUACCUAAUCAGAAGCCACGGCUAACUACGUG
rnacentral:rRNA from 1 species